rnacentral:misc_RNA from 1 species
GCUACGGCCGAGCUCGUAUUAUAAACAUACAUUCGCAGCGUAGGCAUUCGUUUAGUGAUUGUGGGUGGCAUAAUUUAGUUGGAAUUUUUAAAAUAAGUAAAGGACUUUGAUUAUACCGCACUUGAGUUGGAUCGAACGGUAAAUAAUUGCGUUCCGUACUGUUUAUUAAGGCUUGUUGUCAUCGAUUAAUACGUAUCUCUUUCGUGAUAGAUCGUGACCGUGUCAAUAGCGCUAAUAUAAAUUGUUUUUCAUCGCCGAUGCGAGAAGACGAAACGAAACUUACCUAUUAUAAUUAGUUCUCGGACUUUGUUGCGGACAAAUAACUGACUGUGUUAAAUAACAACUGCUGUGCGGUGAUAAUGGAAGGAGUCGUUAGGUUAAUCGUAAAGGCUCCGAAUCAGCAGACCGAGGAUCAAAUUAUAAGAUGCGAAUUAGGGUGGACCAUUGGACGACUCAAGGAUCACCUCGCCCAAGUUUAUCCUAGCAAACCAAAGUCUUCCGAACAAAAGCUCAUUUACUCUGGUCAACUGUUGAGUGAUUCUGCCUUCUUGAGAGAUGUCCUCCAUCACUAUGGUGGCGGAGAUCAGCUCGACCAAUCCUAUACUGUACACCUAGUCUGUGCUCCGACGAUGCCAUUUUACACAGACAAGGCACGCACCAACUCAUCAACCAGUGGCCCAGAAGGAAACAUGGGUGUAUUACAGCCUGAUGCCAUUUUAAAUCCAGUUCAAUCGGAAAGGCUUCAAAGUCAGAGCUUAGAAAGCGACGAGGUUAACAAUCCAGCAUCUUCUUCCGCUCAGUUAUAUUCUACUGAGCGGUAUUAUAACCAGCUGAACAGUCAGCAGAUAGCAUGGAUGCAGCAGGCUUAUACGCAUUACCUUACUCAGUACAUGCAGAUGAUGGCUGCACAAGGUAUCCAAUUACAAAGCAGCAUUCCAUACAUACAGCCUGUGAACACAAACACAAAUGAAGCAGUCAAUAACAAUAAUCGCGAUGAUCAUCAGCGGGUAGCCGCUCAUGGUGCGGGGGCUCCUAUAGAUCCUGCAGAAGCAAACAAUGCAAAUAACAAUGCUGCUGCAGCCGAUGAGAGAGGAGAUGGUGGAAUAGUAUUGAAUCGUGAUUGGCUUGACUUUUUUUACAUGCUGUCCAGAGUCAUUGUCUUGUUUAGCAUCGUAUACUUCUACUCUUCUCCACUCAGGUUUCUCAUUGUAACAUUUUUGGGAUUCGCUGUCUAUCUGUACCAGGGUGGUUUCUUUCGAGUGCAACCGAUGCUCUUGGUUGACAACAACAAUGGCCGCGUUGACAAUAAUAAUCAAAUUUUACAAAACGAAGCUGUCGGGGCUCAGGCUUUACCAGCACAGCAGCCACCCCCAGCUCCUCAAACAGACACACAUGUUAAUCCCAAUGAAGAAAAUGAAGGUCAGAGACCGGGAGCUUUGGCAUUUGCUUGGACAUUCUUCAGUUCGUUUUUUGCAUCUCUUAUACCCGAUCAACCAAAUGUUGUCUAAUUUGAUAAUAAUUUCGUUCUACAUUAUGCAAUUGUAAAUUAAUAUAUUAUAUAUUCUCUAAAAUCGAAUUAAAACUUUGCAUUGAUGCAAGAGAUCGUCUCUUACACGUUAUAGGUAUCAGUCUUGUUUCACAGACAUGGAUAUAUCACAGCUGCAACUGUUCCGCCAAUCUAAUCUUUUAGUAACUGACAUCACUCAGUUGACGAAUAGAGUAGGUUAGCAGACGUUUAGUGAAUUGUCAAGGCAGUUGUUUAGUAUAAAUAGUCAACGAUCGACAUUUGAUUGAUAUAAAACUGUGAAUUCAGACGUCUUUCAAACGUAAAAACUGUCGUACAAGUAAUAGCAGACUAUUGGAAUUGUGAGAUGAAGUUUGCUGUGUAGGUCUAUUAUGAUAUAAAAAGUAUAUUCGACGAAUUCAAAAAAAGUUUUGCUUUUACUACAUGCCAAGUUUUGCGAGAAACAUUUGAAAACGUUAAGAGGGAUUCAGAAAAAUACAAUUAUCGUCCAUUAUUGUAUGUCAAUAUUAUUCGUAAGUUUCAGUUGGUUAACUCUGUUGACAAGCAUCAACAUAAGCUAUGUGCUGUGGUUCACUUUCUGUAAUUUUCCGAAAAGUUUGUUUCUCGGUUCUGAACGCAAUUUUUGACUAAUUCCAAUCGAAGUAUACGCGUAUUUUGAAAAUGAGCUGAUCAUCGGUUCAAAAAAUCAAAAUUGUAAUAAAUUCUUGCUUGUUUCUCGAUUUUUUGCUGAAAACAAAACUAUAAAUUGAUCUGCUACCAUAAGGAGACUUACAUGUUUGCUGACCUGAAUUAUCGCCAAUGCCUAAUGAUGAGUAACAUCUCUUGGUUUGAAUUUUGCUUGUUUAUCUUGUCUUCUUGAAUAAAUAUUACAAAAUCGUCUGUA